AGGCACAGUCGAGGGCCCCAGUGUAGGGCGGGUCCCGCCCAGCCUCCACCUUCAUGUUCAUAACCCUCGUCUUAAUCACGUCGAUCGGGUUCGAGGCCACGGACGCCACAAACCCCGCCGCGAAACUCGCCGUCACGUGCGUUCCAAGGCCGUCCUUCAUCAAGUGCCUAUCGAGAAUCGCCUCCUUGAUCUGGUCGUACGACGCCAGCUGCGACGCCGUCACGAUCAUAGCGCGGUUCACUGUAAGGCUGGACCCGCGCCACAGGCUAAGAACCCCUUCGCUCCUCGCCAUCUUGGAAAUCGCGUCGAUCACGUUCUUGU
rnacentral:lncRNA from 1 species